CAGGAUUCCCCUAGUAACGGCGAGUGAAGAGGGAAUAGCCCAGCACCGAAGCCUGCGGCAGUUUUGCUGUUAGGCAAUGUGGUGUUUGGGUCGGCUCGUGGGAUUGCCACUCCAUUCGAAGUCCAGCAUUGAGUAUGGUUCCCUGGAAUUGGCCCAGAGAGGGUGAAAGGCCCGUACGAAUGGAGGUUCAGACAAGUAAGGCAAUUCACUAGGCCGGCCUUCGAGUCGGGUUGUUUGGGAAUGCAGCCCAAAGUGGGUGGUAAACUCCAUCCAAGGCUAAAUACAAGCACGAAUCCGAUAGCGAACAAGUACCGUGAGGGAAAGUUGAAAAGUACUUUGAAAAGAGAGUAAACAGUACGUGAAACCGCAUAGAGGUAAACGGGUGGCGUCAAGCUGUUAGCCCGGAGGAUUCAGUCAGCAAGGGUGUUGUGUGUGCGCCUGGCGCAUCUAUCAGUCGGAGUAAGUAUCAGUAGUCCACUGGAAGACGGUGGGCCCGGCUUCGGUCGGGAUAUGCGUACCGGGUGGUUGCCGGAGCAUGCUACUGGUCUAUUGGACUGCCUUGCUGGUGCACUUCCUUCGUGGUGAACACCACGACCGAUGGUAUUGCCAGUCUGCUGUAGACAAGUCGUGCGUGAUCAGUUCUUGCAAUUGAUUGUGUGCGAUCACAGGCAAAUUCGGUGGCCGGCGUAGGUCUGCUUCGGUAGAUUUGCGUGUUAUCGUCCAUCGGUUGUCAACGGGCUAGAUGAUGGUUGUUGUAUCCGCCAUCGCUUAGUCUGGUGGUCUACGGUGGUAAGAAUAACUGUGCAAGGCAUCGGAGUUUUCGGUCUCAAAUGCAGACUACAUCCAUGAUGCAAAUGGCGUGUACGGGGCAGCGUUGCAGCCUGCCUGUCCUGGGUCUGAUUGUCGUGUUGCCUGCAUAAAGUGGGCCCGGCAGUGGCUUGGGGCAGGAUGGAGUUGUUGGCGUUGUUCUGUGUGUAGUUUGUGGUGGACCAAACAGUC
rnacentral:rRNA from 1 species